rnacentral:lncRNA from 10 species
GCGAUUCAAUAUAUCCGGAAGCAACUGUCAUGGCUGCUGUCAGUGAGGGCCCGUAAUGGAGAUCGAGUCAAGGGUUGCCCAGGGACACUUAAGAGCCUUCGGCUUCAAGGAGGCCUCUCAAAGGACAAAGGAUGAGACUGCCUGGCGGCAGAGUGCCCCCCACAAUCGUAGGAACUGUGUCGCCGCGCUUCCCGUUAACUUGCCGCUAAGUUUUUCUAGAAAAGUCGCCCUUCUUGCCAGGGGUGUCCUAUAGACUUUGUCAUGGAGUGAAACAGAAACAAAUGUAGGUCUAUUGGGUUCUUGGCAUAGUACCUGGACAAAACAUUGUUAAGGUGGAAAUUUUCAUUGUAUUUAUCACUUCAAACACUUGACCAGUUUAUUUAGUUUUCAAGCGCUUUAGACAACUAUAUGUGGGCUUGACUUAGUGUAUAAUAAAUGUAAAGUUUGAUCUCAAGUAGUUGACAUUUAUGGAGUAUUUACCAUAUGCCAAUCUUUGUGAUAAUUGCUAGACAUAUUUUAUUUAAUGCUUACAGCAGUACUGUGAGUUAGGUUUGUUAAAUCCCUGUUUUAAUAGAUGGAGAAACUGAGGCAAGGACGGAUUAAGUUACAAAUCCGUCUUUGUAACUUAGAGCCAUCUUCUUACCUACUUGUUUUGUAUGACACCCUUUUCCUCCAUAUAACUGAACACUGGUAGAAGAGUGAAUGACUGUAGAAAACAGACCUGGACUCUAUUCUACCUGUCCAGCUUUGUAAACUAGGGCAAGUUGUGUGACCACUCUGAAUUUCAUUUUCCUCACCUAUAAUAAAUGAAAACUUUGAACUAUUAUGUUUUAUUGAAUCUUGAAUCAUCAGAAAUCCUUAAGGCUGGGUGUGGUGCUUCACGCCUGUAAUCCCACCACUUUGGGAGGCCCAGAUGGGAGGAUUGCUUGAGGCCAGGAGUUUGAGACCAGCCUGGUCAGUCAGCAUAGCGAUAUCCCAUCUCUACCACAAAAAAAAAAAAAAAAAUUCCUUAAAAUGGUGCCUUUACCAUCAAACCUGGGAUUUUCUUCCAAGCCCCUAGUGCUCAUUCUGAGUUUUGAAGUUUUGAUGCACGGCAGUGCCAACUCCAUCUCCAUUGCCGUCUAGUCUGAUUACAUUGUAAGAUGUGACUGAUUUCAGAGAUGUCAAAAUGUAAAAUAAUGUGCAUCUUGGAACUAAUGAGCUCUUUUUCAACCCUGACUCUGUAACAUCUGUGACUUUUUAACAUUUUAUUGCAG